UACGUAGGGGGCAAGCGUUGUCCGGAUUUAUUGGGCGUAAAGAGCGUGUAGGCGGCCAGGUAGGUCUGCUGUGAAAACUCGAGGCUUAACCUCGAGAUGUCGGCGGAAACCAUCUGGCUAGAGUCCGGAAGAGGAGAGCGGAAUUCCUGGUGUAGCGGUGAAAUGCGCAGAUAUCAGGAAGAACACCCGUGGCGAAAGCGGCUCUCUGGAACGGUACUGACGCUGAGACGCGAAAGCGUGGGGAGCGAACAGG
rnacentral:rRNA from 1 species